UACGUAGGGGCCUAGCGUUGUCCGGAUUUAUUGGGCGUAAAGAGCUCGUAGGCGGUUUGGUAAGUCGGGUGUGAAAUCUCCACGCUCAACGUGGAGGGGCCACCCGAUACUGCUAUGGCUCGAGUCGACUAGAGGCAGAUGGAAUUCCGGGUGUAGCGGUGGAAUGCGUAGAGAUCCGGAAGAACACCGGUGGCGAAGGCGGUCUGCUGGGGUCGAACUGACGCUGAGGCGCGACAGCGUGGGGAGCAAACAGG
rnacentral:rRNA from 1 species